rnacentral:sRNA from 1 species
UUGAUGUCUCCAUAGCCGUACCGGGCUGCC